rnacentral:rRNA from 1 species
GACGGGGGAUGCAAGUGUUAUCCGGAAUCACUGGGCGUAAAGCGUCUGCAGGUGGUUUCCUAAGUCCACUGUUAAACCUUGAGGCCUCAACCUCAAAUCUGCAUUGGAAACUAGGAGACUUGAGUAUAGGUAGGGGUAGAGGGAAUUUCCAGUGGAGCGGUAGAAAUGCGUAGAUAUUGGAAAGAACACCGAUGGCGAAGGCACUCUACUGGGCUAUUACUGACACUCAGAAGACGGAAAGCUAGGGGAGCAAAUGGG